UCGUAGCUCAGUUGGAUAGAGCAACAGCCUUCUAAGCUGUGGGUCGUGGGUUCGAAUCCCGCCGG
rnacentral:tRNA from 1 species